GGGAGAGAUGAGGCACCGGAGACCGGCGGAGUCACUCCGCCCUCCUCGCUCCAGAAGUGCGCCUUCUGCCAAUCCGAGGGCCGCCUGGCGGUGAUGGACGCAAGCGUGUGCCCAAUGAGGAGGAGAAGGUGUCGCUCCGAGCCACAGGGGAAGGAGUGGGCGGGCCAAGGCCCUCCCCUCCCUCCGGCACCCAGGUCCUCCCUCCCGCCCUGUUCAGCCUUAUUCCGUGAUGUCGGCCUGCAUCCUGAGUCCACCUAAGAAAAUGAACCAACCUGCGGACUUCCUAUAGUGCCCAGAAUGUGUAUGCAUUGCCCCUCGGUGUGUUGAAACUUCUUUGCAGUUUGGCAAUGCAAGGACAGCAGCAUCCUCAUUCAGGGACAUAAUGAUACUCAGGAGGGGGGCCAUGUUCCCUUAGCCAGGUCACCCUGUGAUGAUUGAAACACACUAAAUCCCUCCUGUGGGAAGAAUCAGCUCCAUCUCUAGUGUGGGCUAUGCUACUACAUUUAAGAAUGUGCUAAUGAUACUUUCAGAAAGCCUAUUUCUUAUUUCUCUUGCUGUGAGGUCAUUUUAUGACCCAGGUGAAUAUAAUUGAUCGUGGUGUUAUCUUAUGUACUAUGAGUGUCACUAAAAACAUAGAUGAUUUGAGUCUCAACUACACUAGAGGAUCUUUCAGAGGAUCUCCAAAUAGCCAGGGUUAGCCUUCUGUGGCAGAAGUUGCUCCCUUGUCAGUUGAUACUGGCAUGCCUCCAGUCCCCACCAUGUGUCAUCUUCUAAUUCUGUGCUCACCCUAUUCCAGUAUUUCUUAAAUGGUUGUCUUAGACCCACCUAGAUUCCUGAGUUUGCUCUCAGACCUGCUGAAUCAUCAUCUCUGUAGGCUGGUCCUGGGCUUCUGCAUUUUUAGCAAAUAUGCCUGUGACGUGAAUAAAUAUUAAAAAAUCAAGUGUUUCAUUUGAAACCCCCUUUUUAUUCCUUUCUUUUGAAAAUUUAAGAACUGUUACUUAUUUAUUCCUUCCUUUUUUCUUUCUCACACAUAUUUCUUUCCUUUUUUUCCAUGUAUAUUCCUUUCUCUUAUAUAUUUUUUCUGUCAUUUUUGUGAUCACUUACCUUUCUAUAUUUCUUGUGCACAGGAUUGUGUAAUACACUGGCAGAGUAAUCCCUUAAAAAAAAUGGGUGAAGUUGGCAAAUUCCCUUUCAUAAAUACUGUAGGUAUACUUUAUAACUACACCAUUUAAAACAUAUACUAAGUCAAAUAGAUGUAUAAGCUUAAAAAUAACACUGUAAUUGAUGUUAUGUAUAAAUCUCAACAUGUAUGAAACUUACUAGUUUAUGAUUUCAAAGUAUACAAAAAGAAUUUUUUACAUGGGGGAGUCACAUUUCAAAAUGCAAAUUUCAAUGUACAAAUGAUUUGUUAUUAUCAUUUUCUAAACAGUGGAGUGAGACUAAUGAUGUACUGAGACCUGUUAGGGUUACCAAAAAAAAAAAAUAAAAAGUGCUAUAUGAGAUUUUUGUUAUCUCAAAGAGCUUAUAUACAACUCACAUGGACCAGGAAGCAAAAGUACAUCCUUUAUUAAAGAUGGAGGUUUCAACCCGAGUUUCAUUAGCAUUCCUACAGAUAGAGCCCAAAUGAACAUUAGCUCGCAAUCCAAAUUACAAAAUAAAUGAAUUAAAAAGUCGUAAUCAGCAAGAGGAGGCAGAGGCAGAAAAAAAGAAAAAUUAGAAUUAGAUUCUAAAUCUGAAAAAGAACAAGAAUAGGCCCAUUUUGCUUAUGAACAUAUAUGCAAAAAAUUCUAAAUAUUAGCUAACCAAAUCCAACAUUCUUACUCCAGAAGAACUAGAAGAAACCUUGAGACUCAUUUCCUGGAGAAGGAAAUGGCAACCCACUCCAGUAUUCCUGCCUGGAAAAGUCCAUGGACAGAGGAGCCUGGUGGGCUGCAGUCCAUGGGGUUACACGACUGAGCAUGUGUGCACGAGGGUGGACGGAGAUGGGUUGGUAGCAAUAAAGUGGUAGAACUAAAAAAAAAAAAAGAAGACUAAUUUCCCUCUCUUUAGAAUAUACCUGUCUAGCUACCUAUCUAGUCGUUUAUCAUGAAAAUGUAAUAAAUCAAGUAGGGUUUCUUUCAGAAAUUCAAAUAUGAUUUAACAUCAGAAAACCUAUCCAAAUAAUUUACCUCAAGAAGGCUAAGAGAGAGAAAGCAUUGGAAAAUGUGCAUCACUUAUUAAUAAUAGAAACUUUCAGAAAAACUAGGAAUAGGAAGAAAUGUACUUAACUUUAUGAAGGACCAAAAAUGUACUGCAAAAUAUUAUUAAUGGAUUAACUUUAACACGUUCCAUUUAAGUGUGGGAUCAAGACAAGUUUGCCACCGCUGCUCAAAUGAUAUGGAAAGUCCUGGCUGACGAAAUAAGAUUUGUAAUAAAAGGAUGAAGAAAUUAAAUGGAAGAAUCAGAAGGAAAGCGAUAAAAAUUCGGGAUUUUUGCAGCAAUAUGAUCAACCACAUAAAACACCUAAUAGAUUUUUUUUCCUUCCAGAUUGAGUUGGUGUAGUGUAUUCUUGGUUAUCAAAAUACUCAUAGCUUUGGGUCUUUGAAAUGGUAAAUAUUCAUGAUGUGUGAAACAGCAUGAUACAUAACUGUAUGAUCUUAAUUACAUAAAAAUGGAUGCUUAGUUGUGAAAAAUACACAAAUGAGACCUAGAAGGACAUGUCAAACAGUAAACUGCUUGUGAUUAUGAAUGA